rnacentral:rRNA from 1 species
GGUGUACGACGGCAGUGAUUCGAGUGGGCCUCGCGGUGCUAUAGAUUAAUUGGAAUGGGUCAUUACAACAGUUAUUGUUUAUUUGAUACAUCAAAUGGAUAACUGUAGAAAAACUAGAGCUAAUACAUGCUAAGGCCGCAAGGUCGUAUUUAUUAGAUAUUCCGAUAAGGUGAAUCAUAAUAACUUCGCAAAUCUCGUCUAUGAUGAGAUAAAUCAUCCAAGUUUCUGCCCUAUCAUGCUUUCGUUGGUAGUGUAUUGGACUACCAUGGCUCUCACGGGUAACAGGGAACCCGGGCCCGAUUCUGGAGAAGGAGCCUGAGAAACGGCUACUACAUCUACGGAAGGCAGCAGGCGCGUAAAUUACCCAAUCCUGACUCAGGGAGGUGGUGACAAGAUAUAACAACGUGAUUUUUAAUCUCGAUUGUAGUGAGGGUUUUCUAAAUAGAACCUAUAGUACGAUUAGAGGGCAAGUCUGGUGCCAGCAGCCGCGGUAAUUCCAGCUCUAAUAGCGUAUAUUAAAGUUGCUGCAGUUAAAAAGCUCGUAGUUGGAUUUCAAGGAAUGUAUGCUCGUAUGAGUUUACAUCCUACUAGUCAUUGACUGUUACUGUGAGAAAAUUAGAGUGUUUCAGGCAGACUAUUUGGCAGG